GUUAGCUUGGUGUAUUACUCGCACGCCGGAUUUUCAAGCCAAAAGCACCAAUAUAUUGGUAGCUAACC
rnacentral:tRNA from 1 species